UUCCACAAGGUGCUUUUCAUAUAAGGAGAUAUCUGAGUUCAUAAGAAAAUCCCAUGAUACUGUGUUAAGUCCUAAUGCUAUUGGAAAGCGAUUGAAGAGAUUAGGAGUGCCAUCCCGAAAAGGACAUACUAACCAUGAUGAAUAAAUCAUUAAACGGGCUAUUGAGGAACUUUUACCAAACGUACCAGAAACUGUUGGCUACAGAUGUAUGACGAAUAUGCUUCGUUUACAAGGUUGUCAUGUAAGAAGGU